rnacentral:rRNA from 1 species
UACGGAGGGGGCUAGCGUUGUUCGGAAUUACUGGGCGUAAAGCGCAUGUAGGCGGCUUUGUAAGUUAGAGGUGAAAGCCCAGGGCUCAACCCUGGAAUUGCCUUUAAGACUGCAUCGCUAGAAUUGUGGAGAGGUAAGUGGAAUUCCGAGUGUAGAGGUGAAAUUCGUAGAUAUUCGGAAGAACACCAGUGGCGAAGGCGACUUACUGGACACAUAUUGACGCUGAGGUGCGAAAGCGUGGGGAGCAAACAGG